AACUUCUAACGGUGGAUCUCUUGGCUCAUGCAUCGAUGAAGAACGUUGCCAGUUGCGAUAAGUAGUGUGAAUUGCAGAAUGAAGUGAAUCAUCGAAUCUUUGAACGCAAAUUGCAAUUGCUGCUUUUACUUUUACGCCUUCAUGAUAGAUU
rnacentral:rRNA from 1 species